CGCUUUCCGGCCCAGCCAGCGCCCGCGAUGACUGCCACUCUCCGCCCCUACCUGAGUGCCGUGCGGGCCACAUUGCAGGCUGCCCUCUGCCUGGAGAACUUCUCCUCCCAGGUUGUGGAACGACACAACAAGCCGGAAGUGGAAGUCAGGAGUAGCAAAGAGCUCCUGUUACAACCUGUGACCAUCAGCAGGAAUGAGAAGGAAAAGGUUCUGAUUGAGGGCUCCAUCAACUCUGUCCGGGUCAGCAUUGCUGUGAAACAGGCUGAUGAGAUCGAGAAGAUUUUAUGCCACAAGUUCAUGCGCUUCAUGAUGAUGCGAGCAGAAAACUUCUUUAUCCUUCGAAGGAAGCCUGUGGAGGGGUAUGAUAUCAGCUUUCUGAUCACCAACUUCCACACAGAGCAGAUGUACAAACACAAGUUGGUGGACUUUGUGAUCCACUUCAUGGAGGAGAUUGACAAGGAGAUCAGUGAGAUGAAGCUGUCAGUCAAUGCCCGUGCCCGCAUUGUGGCUGAAGAGUUCCUUAAGAAUGUGAGUAGAGGCCUUUCAGCUUUCCUUCCAGAGGCCAGAGGAUCUGGGGGUCAUGUUGAAAACUUAGCAUCUGGUGGGAAAGGGGUCCAAGCAGUGUGUUUAUAUCUCCUGAGCUCUCUAGGACCCCUGGGGCACAGCAGAUCAGUCAGGUGCUUUGGAGCUAGAGGACCCCAAGUUCAUCUCUGAGAGCUACAAGGCAUUU
rnacentral:sRNA from 1 species